ACAAAUUGGUCAAAAGAGGACUUUUACCAAAUUAAUAUUAUUCAUUCAUUUUGGGAGAUGGAAUGUACAUUCCAUCAAUCCCCUAAAUCCAAUAAUAUUAACUUGACAAAGUCACAAAAGAGGACUUUUACCAAAUUAAUAUUAUUCAUUCAUUUUGGGAGAUGGAAUGUACAUUCCAUCAAUCCCCUAAAUCCAAUAAUAUUAACUUGACAAAGUCAAAUC
rnacentral:lncRNA from 1 species